GGUGGAGGGAAGGCUGUCAUGAGAAUUUCAAGUUUAUACAAAAGGCUCCUGGGUUUAAAAAGGUUGGAAAGCACUGUAGUAGUGAGAUGGAUUGGUUUUUGAAGAAAAGUGAGAAAAGAAAACCAUUAAGUCCAACUGUCACUCUUCCAACUAAAUAUUGAAACCACUUGGGAAAAAAUUGAGUGAAGUUUAUAGUCAUAAGCAACUUUGGUGUUUUUGAGGUUUACCUGUGAACCUCCAUUUAGCUCUACCAGAGGCUUCUAGAGAUGCAAUGAAUUGCCAUGUUUUAAGACUUUCAAAAAUGUUAAGUUGCCUGUUCAACUGGACUAACUCAUUAAAAGGUUUCAGUUCAGUUGAUUUGGAGGACUGUAUGCUGCAUUGUGCUUUGUGGAUACAGAACUCAAGAGACUGGGAUCUCUGGUCUUUCACAGUUAUGGCACACACUGAAAUCUUCAGUAAAGGAAGGAAGAUAGGAGGAGAGCACCAUCAAUUCUUCCUGUUUUAGAGUCCUCAGUCUUUUCUCAGGAUAUGUCCUAUACCAGGCUGAUAGGAGGACCUGAUAGAAAAAGAGGUCACCGGGAGCAGAGCAAAGGCCAUCUGACAGCCAAAUCCCAUGCUCCAGACAUGUGAAUGAUGCCUUCCUGGACCUUCAAACCCAAGCAGCUUCCUGCAGUCCAUGAGUGGCUCCAACAGAUUCCACAUGUGCAGAAGAACAGCCAAGACAACUCAAAGACUCAUGAGAAAUCAUGAAUUGUUGCAGUUUUAGAAGCCACUAAGCCUUGGGUGAUUUAGUAGGCUUCAACAGAUAAUUAACACAUUGUCAAAGAUUUCAAAAUCACAUGGCUUGGGUUGUGGCUCAGCGGUAGAGCACUUGCCUCACACGUGUGAGACACUGGGUUCGAUCCUCAGCACCACAUAAAAAUAAAUAAAUAAAUAAGAGAAAGAUAUUGUGUAAAAAAAUGCUUCAUUUAAAAAAAAAUUUCAAAAUCAAAAUGUUCAACUUCCUGUAGGUGCAGAGAGAGAAGUAUUUCCACAUAUUGCUGGUGUGCAUACAAAUUUAUAAAGCUUGAUAAUGUGGUAGUUUUAAUUUUUUGAGGAAACGCUACACUGUUUUCAAUAGUAGCUGUACUGUUGUACAUCCCCACCAUUAUGCACAAGGAUUUAAGUUUCUCCCCAACACUGUCAACACUUCCUGCUCACCCUUCCUCCUUUUGGUGAGAAUAGCCCUCCUAAUGAACAUGAAGUGACAUCUCAUUUUGGUUUUGGUUUGUAUUUCUAUAAUGAUUAAUUAUGUUCAGCAUCCAUUCAUAUGCAUGUUGUCCAUUGCUGCAUCUAUUCAAAUACUUUAUCCAAAAGAACUGAAAGUAGAGUCUCAAAGAAAUAUUUGUACACCUAUAUUCAUAGCAGCAUCAUUCACAACAGCCAAGAGAUGUAAACAACCUAGAUAUUAAUCAACAAAAAAUACAUAAAUAAAUUGUAUAUAUGGUAUAUACAUACAAUGGAAUCAUAUUCAGCUUUAAAAGGGAAAGAAAUCCUAUCAUAUGCUAGAGCAGAGGUGAACCUGGAGGACAUCACACUAAGUAAAAUAAGCCAGGCACAGAAAGACAAAUGCUAUAUAAUUCCUCUCAUGUGGGCUAUCUAAAGUGAUUAAAUUCAUAGAAAUAGAAAGUAGAAUGGUGGUUACCAGGGGUUGGGAAGAAGGAGAAAUGGAAGCUGUCAUUUAAUGGGCAUAGAGUUUCAAUUUUGUAAGAUAAGAAAGUUCUAGUUUUUUUUGGUACCGGGGCAUGAACUCAGGGGAACUCAGUCACUGAGCCACAUCCCAGCCCUUUUUUUUUUUUU